CCAAAAGUUUUCUAGGGUUCCGCGUAGUCGUACGGUCUGGUCCGAGAGAAAGCGCAUAGUUACUAUGUACACGGAGGGAGAAAAGCCCGGGAGGU
rnacentral:sRNA from 2 species